UUAUAAAAUAUAUUAAUAAUUAGGUAUCCAACAUGCACUACGAAAUUAGAUUAUAGGGAUACAUGUUUGGAAUAUUUUUGUGUAAGUGUCUUAUUUGUGCCAAAACUUAAAAAAAUAUUUACUAAUGCCUAAAUAUAAAGCCCAAUUUAACUAAAAAGAAAAUGCUAUUCUACUCAACCCAUCCCAUCCAGCCCAUUUGGCCGGAUUACAAAUAGAAAAGAAAAAUAAAAUAAAAUCGAUUACCAUCUCCCCUUCUCCCCUCACUCAAUCUUCUGAAAUUCUAGACAAAGAGUCAUUCCCUUUCGUCCUCCUCCGCCAUUGCAGCCAACGAGGUAGAGUUUUGGCAGUUAUUAAAUACUUAAAUAAGUAUUGGUAAAUUAGCAGCGCUCUUUUUAGCUUAUAACGACACUUUUUAACUGUCACUAUAUACCUAGCGACCCCACAUAUAGCAACACGUUUUAAAAGUGUCAGUAAUUUAGCCAGCAGCAUGUUUUUUGACUUGUACCGACACUUAAAAGUGUCGCUAUAGACCGUUUUUGUUGUAGUGAUGUCAACAUAAAUCAUAUUCAAAGACUAUGAUUUUCCCCACAAGUUCAAAUAUCAAGGUGGGAAUGAAGAACAACAUACUAUCAUAGAUAUCUAUACUAUAUAUAAAAGCAUCUAGCAAUGACAGACAGAAUAAAAAAAAUAUAAAAAAAUAUUCUCUACGAUCGAUUAUGAUCAAUAUAUUAAUAAAAAUUUCAAAUAAGAACAAAUGGUUAUGAUCAAACUGUUAAAAAAAACAUUCAUAUCCAUCUAUAAAUUUAAUUCGACGAACGAUUAUGAUUAAUUUAUUAAAAAUAUUUUAAAUAAAAACGAACGGUUAUGAUCAAUUUAUUAAAAAAUAGUACUCCUUUACAUCUAUUGUACAUUAAAAUUUUAAAUUUGAGUUUAAAUCGUGAAUUAUAUUUUAUUUUUUAUAUCAAAUUUGA
rnacentral:lncRNA from 1 species